rnacentral:rRNA from 1 species
UACGGAAGGCAGCAGGGGGGAAUAUUGCACAAUGGGCGAAAGCCUGAUGCAGCUAUGCCGCGUGUAUGAAGAAGGCCUUAGGGUUGUAAAGUACUUUCAUCGGGGAGGAAAAAACAAAACUAAUAAUUUUAUUUCUUGACGUUACCCGAAAAAGAAGCACCGGCUAACUCCGUGCCAGCAGCCGCGGUAAUACGGAGGGUGCUAGCGUUAAUCAGAAUUACUGGGCGUAAAGAGCACGUAGGUGGUUUUUUUAAAGUCAGAUGUGAAAUCCCUGGGCUUAACCUAGGAACUGCAUUUUGAAACUGAAAUACUAGAGUAUCGUAGAGGGAGGUAGAAUUCUAGGUGUAGCGGUGAAAUGCGUAGAUAUCUGGAGGAAUACCUGUGGCGAAAGCGGCCUCCUAAACGAAUACUGACACUGAGGGUGCGAAAGCGUGGGGAGCAAACAGGGAUUAGAUACC